rnacentral:rRNA from 1 species
GAUGAACGCUGACAGAAUGCUUAACACAUCAGCAACUGGGUGGUGGCGGACGGGUGAGUAACGCGUAAAUAACUUACCUCCCAGUUAGGGACAACAUUUGGAAACGAAUGCUAAUACAUACUACUGUGAUAGAGCGUUGCGUCCCAUUAGCUAGUUGGCGAGGUAACGGGUCACCAAGGCGAGGAUGGGUAGCCGGCCUGGGAGGGUGAUCGGCCACAAGGGGACUGGGAGACGGCCCUUACUCCUACGGGGGGCAGGAGUGGGGAAUGUUGGACAAUGGACCAAAGUCUGAUCCAGCAAUUCUGUGUGCACGAUGAAGUUUUCGGAAUGUAAAGUGCUUUCAGUUGAGAAGCGGUACCAACAGAAGAAGUGACGGCUAAAUACGUGCCAGCAGCCGCGGUAAUUC